rnacentral:lncRNA from 1 species
UUUUAUAGGUAUUUAAUUAAAAUUUUCAUUAUUGUUUUCUAGCCCAAUGUCGGUAGGAAAUUAAAGCCCAAUAUUGGAAGUCCAAAAGCUAACCCUAAAGACCAUCUUCCAUUUUCAAGACCACGGACCUUACACAAAAACAAUGGAGAAAGACAAGUUGAACCCUAGUUUACUGCCGCCGACAUCUCCUCUCACAGCCCCAAUCGCCUCCAGCCUGCCAGAAAACGCACACGUCCCACACUUUUUGUCUUCAUCUUCUUAUUCAUAACACACUAAGAAAAACAUAAGACCCAAAAAUCCCUAGGAGACCCCCAGCCGCCACAACCAAAUAACCAUUGCCCCCCCCCCCCCC